rnacentral:rRNA from 1 species
UACGAACGGUCCAAACGUUAUUCGGAAUCACUGGGCUUAAAGCGUCCGUAGGCGGCUCGGAAAGUAGGGUGUGAAAUCCCACGGCUCAACCGUGGAAUUGCGCUCUAAACUAUCGAGCUAGAGGGAGAUAGAGGUGAGCGGAACUGAUGGUGGAGCGGUGAAAUGCGUUGAUAUCAUCAGGAACACCUGCGGCGAAGGCGGGUUGCUGGGCUGAUACUGACGCUGAGGCGCGAAAGCCAGGGGAGCGAACGGG